GGGUGCGACCAUACCAGCACGAACGCACCGAAUUCCAUCAGAACUUCGAAGUUUAGCGUGCUUUGGCGAGAGUAGUACUGGGAUGGGUGACCCCCUGGGAAGUCCUCGUGUUGUACCCC
rnacentral:rRNA from 1 species